GCCAGGGCCUGACUAAACCUGGAGACUCGGGUGGCCGAGGGGCUUCAUACCAGCUGAAGAGCGACAAGCCGCUGGCAGCCGCGGAUCUCACCGCCGCUCAGGUUUUUAGAACUUCAGCCAUAAAAAUGGGCAGAAUUUUCCUUGAUCAUAUCGGUGGUACCCGUCUGUUUUCUUGUGCAAACUGUGAUACGAUCCUGACCAACCGCUCAGAACUCAUCUCCACUCGUUUCACAGGCGCCACUGGCAGAGCAUUUCUUUUUAACAAGUAGUUAACCUGCAGUACAGUGAAGUUCAAGAUCGGGUCAUGCUCACUGGCCGCCACAUGGUUCGAGAUGUGAGCUGCAAAAACUGCAAUAGCAAACUGGGAUGGAUCUAUGAGUUUGCCACUGAAGACAGCCAGCGAUAUAAGGAAGGCCGCGUGAUCCUGG
rnacentral:lncRNA from 1 species